GGAUCACCACCAUCCCCUGCCGGAGCCUCGUGAAGCUUUAGGGCAUUCUCGCUCAAUAAACACUCACAACGCCCGGUCUGGGAGUCGAAAUUGCGAUCCUACAAUCGCGAGUCCGCUGGCCUAACCACAGGGUCAUUGCACCU